AAUACAGCGUUGAAGAGGAUUAGUACAUUUUGGAAGCUUUUCAGAGAGAGAAUCAUUUGGUGUGAGAUUCUCAAGUGGAGAAGAUGGAACCUGCCUUGGAGCUUUGCAUGAAAAUGCAACGUUGUUCCCGGCGUUAACGGGAAUAUGAGAGAAUGGCCAAAGUUUGGGCUGUUAAUUAGGGUGGUACCGCCGAAGUGUUUAAACUAUCGGUCCCUUAU
rnacentral:ncRNA from 1 species